GAUGGAGGCGCGUAGCCUAACGGAUGCAUGUGGCCUAGGGAGCAUGGGGCUCUAGUGGGCACAUGGCCUAAUGGGCACAUAGCCUUGGGAGCACGGGGCUCUGUAGUUGGUGGAGUCAUCUGUUCUAGGGGGCACAUGGCCGGAACAUAUGGUAGACUUGUCGCUAUGCUGUAGUGAGCAUGAUGUGUCGAGAUGCUUCAGUGAGCAUGGAGGGACCCUGCUGAUGAGCUGGAGAUCGUGGACUGAGCCAGUAAGUAGAGUUCUAGACUGAUACCACUCAAAUUACCCUAAGGACUGAUUUAUACUCUCUCAAAUAAGAGGUUGAGUUGUAGUACUUUGGGAUCGAAUUCACAAGGAGCUAGGGAACCUAGGAAAUCUAAUAUGAUUUGUUAAGCAAGAUG
rnacentral:lncRNA from 1 species